rnacentral:rRNA from 1 species
GAUCAUGGCUCAGAUUGAACGCUGGCGGCGUGCUUAACACAUGCAAGUCGAACGCGAAAGGGGCUUCGGCCCUGAGUAAAGUGGCGCACGGGUGAGUAACACGUGGAUAAUCUGCCCUUAUGAUCGGGAUAACAGUCGGAAACGGCUGCUAAUACCGGAUACGCUCAAAAUGAACUUUUUGAGGAAAGGUGACCUCUGCUUGCAAGUUACCGUAUAAGGAUGAGUCCGCGUCCCAUUAGCUUGUUGGUGGGGUAACGGCCUACCAAGGCAACGAUGGGUAGCCGAUUUGAGAGGAUGAUCGGCCACACUGGGACUGAAACACGGCCCAGACUCCUGCGGGAGGCAGCAGUAGGGAAUUUUCGGCAAUGGGGGGAACCCUGGCCGAGCAACGCCGCGUGAGCGAAAAGAAGGCCUUCGGGUCGUAAAGCUCUGUUAUGAAGGAAGAAUGACCCAUACAGGAAAUGGUAAGGGGAUGACGGUACUUCAUGAGGAAGCCACGGCUAACUACGUGCCAGCAGCAGC